UCUGUGGUGACCAGUGACAGAAGCUGAGGGAAUGGCACGAAUGAGGUUUAGGUUGGAUAUUUGGAAGAGAUUCUUCAUCUGGGGGUGUUGGACACUGGAAUAAGCUCCCCAGGGAAGUGGUCACAGCAACAAAUCUGACAGUUCAAGAACAUUUGGACGACGCUCUCAGUUGUGGGGGCAUUGCUAUGCAGAUUUAGAUGCCAAAAUAUAAGAGUGUGGUUUCAGAUAUCUAUAAAAUCUUGGCUUGAAGAACCGCUCAGCCACACUGCUUGAUUUGCCUGUGAACCCUUUGAAUACAAAAGAAGCUGAUAAGAGGGAAAGCCCCAACUUCUACAAUGAAAAUAUGUCAGCAUGAAAAUGGUUAAUGAUUGCAUUUUAAAUCAAAAUGUUCUCCAUGACUGACUGCUUUGCAGCACUAGGUUAAUCCUGUUUAUUCAGCAAACACAUUUAAGAGCAACUUUGAGGGAAAAAAAACAAAACAGAAAAAGCUGGAAAUUGCCUUUUUCUAUCUGCAGUGAUACUUUGUCAACAGUCAAAUUACGCCAUGCUGAUAACAAUGCAUAAUGGUCUCCCUCAAAGGAGGCUCCUGUCAUGGAGCAGCCUUUCAUAAAAACCCACUGGUUUCUUCUCUGGGAAAUAGAUCUGGAUGAAAGGAAUUAAGCUUUUGUGGUUUCAGCCAUAGUUGCAAUGUGCAGGGCAGCAUCCCGCAGCCUUUGCAUAAGCACAAGUCCCACUGACGUCAAUGGGAGUUUUUCCGGGGCGAGGGCUGAGCGCCUUGGCCCGCUGCUAUAAACACGUUGGGACUUUCUCUUUUAAUGGAUGGUAUUUAGAUUCUGUGUGGGGCUUGUUUAACACUCAAACAUCGCAGGGCACACAAGACAAAUUGUCUUUUUGUCAGAGCUGCAUGAGGGCAGGAGAGAAGCACUGCGCUAUCACAGGCAGUUUUUACCUUCCACUCACUGCUUCCUGAUCCCCAUCUCCCUUUUCCUGGGAGAUCAAUAACGGCAAAAGUCAGAGGGUGUCAUGGGGCAGGAUUUCCAACAAGCAGAAGUGAAAUUAAUAAGAAUAACAUGCUUCAGAGAUACUAAUAUUUUUUGCCUGUAGAGCUGAAAUGUAGCUGCCUGCUCCCUUGGAGAGAAGGGUUAGCACCCACAGCCCCGUCUAUAACUGGGCUUAUUGCUGCCAACCACCCCAAUGGCACGGGUAGGGUACAUAACCCUUGGUGUGUGCAUGUCUGUUUACACUACAAAACAAAGCCAAAAUCACACAUCACCUUUAAUCUGAGCCAUCUUUCCAUCAAUAUCUUAUUUCUUGCCCCAGAUAAAUGACUGAUGUUGCAAUGCCUGGUAACAUGGCAACUCAUUCUAAUAAUUUUCUAUAUCCUCUCCAAUGAUAUUCACCCCCACCCCGGAAGAUAUUAACAUUUUGCAAUUAACUCUCUCUGGCAUACUAAGAAAUGUGAAAUUCAGGGUAUUUGGCUCCUGAAUUCUGGAUGUUCCUCUCUUUGUGUCCACCUAGGAUGGAGAAAUGAGACUUCUAAUGACAUAGCCCAGUGCAGACACAGUCCUUGAGCAUCCCCAGACCAACGGCAUGGCAGCCACUGGGCAUGCAGGUUACAUGUGCCAAAAAUGCAACAGGAGAAGGCUGUGAAAAAUUAGGAAAUCUUCUUGACAUCGGGAAAUCCGAUGCUUGUCUGCUCUAACAUCUGUAAGUGCCAAAGAAAGAGGGGGAUUUUUUCCUUAAAGGUAAGUCUAUUUUUCUUCUUCUUACUAGAUAUAAAAAUUGUGGUUAGUGUCUGGAGUAAAGGGCCCUCUAAAGUUUAUAGUGUUUACCCUCCGUUUAUAAAUCCAUAAUGAUCUAUUUAAUGAUAUCAUAAGGUUAAAAGUUAAACAGCACUGUAUUUUCUCUGCCUUUUUCUCCUCUGCCUUUUGGAAAGGCAGGUUUGCCUAUCUCCGAGAGACGAUCGGUCGGGGUUAUUUUCUGAAGGAAAAAUAUAGGUAAAAAUCCUUCACACAGAAGGAUUCAUAACAGCAAGGACGAGAAGAUAAAGGUAUUAUUUUGACAUGAUGACCCCUGGAAAAUAUCUUUGACUCAUCCCAAGUAAGCCUCUUUCUUUCCUUCCUCCACCCUCUCCCCCUCCCCUCAAAAUGCGGGGCUAAUUUAAAACAUUUUCUAGAUAUGCUACUUAUACAUAUUGAAAACAUAUUUUAGUGACUGUGUUUGUUUUGGCAAUAUAUAAACCAAAAAAAACCCCCAAUUAAAUUAAAAAGAGCGAUUUUAAAAGUUAGAGAUUGCCUUUUAAAAGCUUAUUAAAAUCAGCAUGUUAGAUGUCUGUCUUUGAAUUAGCUCCGAGGCUUGAUUGCUUUCAUUAAAACUGCCUGUUUGGGUGCUGCUUGGUGAAUGUUCAAGUCUGGAUUUUUUCCCCUCUUAUCCCCCCCCCAGCCCUGAGCUGCUUCUUACUACUUGUCAACUUGGAUUUUCCCUCCAAAUUUGAAAGCGAAACUUUUUUUUUUUUUUUUUUUUUUUGGUUUUUUUUGAGAUGCAACAGCCACCCCCACCCUGCCUUCCCCUUUGCAAAAUAUCACGACCAAAAUCACCAGUAAUUUGAGUCAGAGAGAGACCAACAGGGGAAGAAUCUGAAGUGGAGCAACCAGGCCCCAGAGGAAAAAAAACCAGCCCACAAAUAAUAUCAAUAUCGAGCAGCAAUGGGAAGCAACGGGGCAGCUCUCAGCGUUACGGGCACUCUGCUAUUGUUUCAAGAGCUGGGGAAUUAAUUCCACUUAUUUAUUUAAGGCGUGUCAACUCGCUGCCUAAACCUGUUUCGAUGUCAAGAUGAAUAAAACUUUUAUGGCUCAUAAAAUAGAGCCAUUCAUCUCCAUGGUCUUUGUGGUGUCUGGGUUGUUGGGGGUUUUUUCCCCCCUUUCCUCCUGGUAGGCUGAGCUGGGCCAAAAUCUCUGUAUCCCAUCGCUACCAACUCACUCACAGGAGAAAAGAAAAUUUGGACCGGGCAUCUCAAGCUAAACUUCUGGGUUUGAUUAGAAAUUGUAAAUGUUAAUUCAUCAUAGUCUUGUGCAAACCCCCCCAUCUCCUCUAUUUCCCCAGCCUAAAACCUACAAUGAAUUUACAUCAUCUAUAUGGAGCUUUGUACCAACAGGUUGUUGUCUCUUUUGCUUCUCUGAGAAGUUGAGUAAAUGCUCUGGCCCCUUUCAAGUAUUUUCUCAUCUGCACUGAAUUUCCACUGACAAACCAACUGAUAGACACAGACCUAAGAAACAUUUAUUAUCAUCGUGUAAGAGUUUUUUUUUAUUUAAUCUGAGGCAAUUAGUUACUGAAUAAACAAAGACUAAGUAAUUUACCUCCUCAAAAGGUAAUCAGACUUGAAAAGUGCUGUUUGGUUCUACCCAAGAAAAGCACAACUUUAUUAAAAUUAUUUGGAGAUUCACUUUCAUUUCUUCCCUUUUGCCUUGGAAAACAUUUUAUAACAACCCAAUAACUUUCCUUUUCUCCCCAUGCCAAACCUGGGGCCUCUGUUGGUUGUUGCUGUCCUUUUCCCCCACCUUCCCUAAAUCUUUAACCCUGCUUCUCAUUUUUCUUUGCCUCUAAUCUAAUCACUAAUUCCUUGGCUUGGCCAAAUAGUUAAAAAUGUUAAGUGCUGCUCACAAUUCCUGCUGCCUCCCCCACGUAUCUGUCUCUGUUUAUGGAACAGGCCCUGGUUUCCUCCUGCUCUUGUUCAGCUGUAGGUCUGCAGGUCAGGAGACUGUAAAUACACACAGUGCUGCCCCAACCCAUAAA